AGACCCGAAACCCGGUGAUCUAGCCAUGGGCAGGUUGAAGGUUGGGUAACACUAACUGGAGGACCGAACCGACUAAUGUUGAAAAAUUAGCGGAUGACCUGUGGCUGGGGGUGAAAGGCCAAUCAAACCGGGAGAUAGCUGGUUCUCCCCGAAAGCUAUUUAGGUAGCGCCUCGUGAAUUCAUCUCCGGGGGUAGAGCACUGUUUCGGCUAGGGGGCCAUCCCGGCUUACCAACCCGAUGCAAACUGCGAAUACCGGAGAAUGUUAUCACGGGAGACACACGGCGGGUGCUAACGUCCGUCGUGAAGAGGGAAACAACCCAGACCGCCAGCUAAGGUCCCAAAGUCAUGGUUAAGUGGGAAACGAUGUGGGAAGGCCCAGACAGCCAGGAUGUUGGCUUAGAAGCAGCCAUCAUUUAAAGAAAGCGUAAUAGCUCACUGGUCGAGUCGGCCUGCGCGGAAGAUGUAACGGGGCUAAACCAUGCACCGAAGCUGCGGCAGCGACGCUGAUGCGUUGUUGGGUAGGGGAGCGUUCUGUAAGCCUGCGAAGGUGGCCUGUGAGGGUUGCUGGAGGUAUCAGAAGUGCGAAUGCUGACAUAAGUAACGAUAAAGCGGGUGAAAAGCCCGCUCGCCGGAAGACCAAGGGUUCCUGUCCAACGUUAAUCGGGGCAGGGUGAGUCGACCCCUAAGGCGAGGCCGAAAGGCGUAGUCGAUGGGAAACGGGUUAAUAUUCCCGUACUUGGUGUUACUGCGAAGGGGGGACGGAGAAGGCUAUGUUGGCCGGGCGACGGUUGUCCCGGUUUAAGCGUGUAGGUGUGUGUUCCAGGUAAAUCCGGUUCACUUUAACACUGAGGCGUGAUGACGAG
rnacentral:rRNA from 1 species